rnacentral:rRNA from 1 species
AAGCUCGUAGUUGAAUUUCGGGAUUAGUACGUCGGUCGUGCCUUAGGUACGUACUGGUGUUACUGGUUCCUACCUUCUGACGAGCCAUCAUGUCAUUAAUUUGGUGUGGUGGGGAAUCAGGACUGUUACUUUGAAAAAAUUAGAGUGUUUAAAGCAGGCUCGCGCUUGAAUACAUUAGCAUGGAAUAAUGAAAUAGGACGUUGAUCCUAUUUUGUUGGUUUCUAGGAUUGACGUAAUGAUUAAUAGGGAUAGUUGGG